AUAUCUCUCUGUACGGGAAGGAUGAGAAGCUUCGACCAAGGUUCGAUUCGAGCGCAGCGAGAAAGCGUUGCCGCAGGCAACGACCCGAAGGGCGAAGCGC
rnacentral:sRNA from 1 species